AUCCUUUACAACAUUUCUCCUUUGGUUGGUCUUAGUAGAUUUUUAAUGUUGCCUUCUGUGGUGAAUGUGAAGCACUAUCUCCUUGUUUAAUUUGCAUUUCCCUGCAUACCAGUGCUGUUGAGCAUCUUCUCAUCUACUAAUUAGCCAUUCAGUUCAGGUCUUCUUCUCUGAAUUGCCUGUUCAUUUUUAAAUUCUUUUAUUGAUUUGGUAGAGAAGGACUAACAGGUGAAACGACUUGCUCAAGGCCACAGCAAGUGAGUGGACCAGAAUCAGAAUCAGAACUCAACUCUGAUCCCCAAACCUAAUAUAAUGAUCACCAGCGAAGGGUUCAAACCCAGUGACAAAGCAGAAAGAUUAAUGCGUGGAUGUUAAUUAUGCAGCACGGAGGGUCCCAAAUGCUCUUUCAUGUCACUGAAAAAGAUCAUUUCAUUUUAAAAGAUGAGCCUCUUUCAGGUGGUGCCCGCUGAUAGGAGAGAGCGGCAGUGAGUGGAGACAAAGUCAUAUGAAUUAUCAUUUUUCUGAGCAUCCCUCCCUCCAAAGAAGCUGUGCGGUGUAGCAGAAAGGUUCAGCACAAGAGCAGUUGACCAGGGCUCUAACUCCAGCUCUGCUACUGAAUAACUGUGUCAUCUUAGCAUUUAGAGACUACAUGGGGGUGUGCUAGACUCUGUGGGAAGUCUUGGUAACCACUGGAAAGGAGCAGAAAACAACAUUCCUGACAUCAGGGACACUAGAGUCUAGUUUGGAGAGGCAAAACAAACACCCACGAGAAAGAGAAUGGCACUGCUCUAUCCAAAAGGACUAACAAGAUAUUCAUGAAAUGCUGCUAAUGGAGGUUCCACAGAAGCAUACCAACCAGCGUCAGCCAUCCCAGAGGCGGCUGAGACACUCUAAUCCUAUGCCUUACUAGAUCCUGACUGGAUUCCUUCCAUGUUGUAAAGGAGGCUUCGAGGACAUGAUCUGAAGAAAGUGAGUGUGAUGAUGUAACCAUCUCCAAAUCCUAAAGGCGUCAGACAUCAAGCUCAGACAUCAAGCACAUCAAGACAAUACUCCAAAGAUCAAGGCAGCAUCAUGAUUUAAGAGCCAAGCAUCCUGAUUCAUGUGUCUUAUGAAUGAUUUGCUCAUAUGUAUCAGUUCAUCAGAAAACAUGGGUUGUAUAAGCCUGCUAUCUAAGAGACAGCCAAGGAACACCCUCAAGGACCAGUCCUGACCAGCAGCAAGCAGCUUCCUCCAAAAUGGCAGAACUGAGUCCAGGUGGCAAAUACUUUCCCAUUCUUGGGGAAAACAUUUUCAUUAAUUCUUUCAACUAGGAGAUUAUCUUCAGCUGGAUUCCUCAAGUCGGACCCUGAGAUAAGAAUUUGUGAGCCAGUGAUUUUAUUAAGUAAAUUUGAGGAAAAAUCCAUAAGAGAGUGGAGAAAGAAAAAAAAAAGGGCUAAGGGAAGAGGUCAGGCAAGGGUGCAAUUUGAGGCAAGUUUCCUGAUCUUACACUCAGCCUGAGCAGCCCUGGCAAUGGGGGUGGGGAGGAGACUUACUCUCAGGUACUUCCCAUUUUUUGUACUCGAGGCACAAGUAGCACCAGUGGCUUGAAUGUGGCCUCCAAAGAGGAGCCACAGACACAAGCCAUUGAAGGCAAAAGCUCACAGAAGCCUAGAGAGGGGCUGGAAACAACAAAUGAGAUCUGAUUUGCAACAUGGAGAGUGUUCAUUAGGAGAUCACUUCCUCUGGGCAGCAGGGCUGCACUUCCUCUGGGAGGGGAUAAGUUGAAGCAGUUAUUUCAAAUCAGCAAACAUCCUCUUCCCACACCAGGCUUGUGUCAGUGUCAUCCAAACAUAGUCAUCAAAUGUUCCAAAGUGACUUGUUCUCAGACAUCAGGAUUUUGCACAAAGCUAGAAUAUAUUGCAUAUUGCUUAUGACAUGUACAUUGGAAUUGAAAAGAUGGAGAUUAAAUCCACAAGUACCCUUCAACAGCUUAGUGUUUUCCAUUUACUCAUACUUUAAUAGGAAUAAUAAUAUCCUUCAUGUAAAACGAUCAUAAGGAUUAAAUGCAGGUAACAAUAAUUUAUGUAAAAUACUCAGUAAAACAUAGAUACUCAACUUAUGACUUACCAACGUUGUUGUUUUUCUGUUUUGUUC